rnacentral:rRNA from 1 species
GAGUAACUAUUGGAAACGAUAGCUAAUACCGCAUAACAGUAGAUGUUGCAUGACAUUUGCUUAAAAGGUGCAAUUGCAUCACUACCAGAUGGACCUGCGUUGUAUUAGCUAGUUGGUGGGGUAACGGCUCACCAAGGCGACGAUACAUAGCCGACCUGAGAGGGUGAUCGGCCACACUGGGACUGAGACACGGCCCAG